AUUUAUUUUUGUGCAAUAUAAUCCGGAAGAUAGCAUUGGCAAUUCUUCUAAUAUAAAUUGUCUCUCGGAUUUUAUGCAAAGAUAUUCAAUGCCAUCUUUAUUCAUAGUCUCUAUAUGA
rnacentral:sRNA from 1 species